rnacentral:rRNA from 1 species
CAAAACCGGCGCACGGGUGCGUAACGCGUAUACAAUCUGCCUUUCACAUAGGGAUAGCCCGAAGAAAUUUGGAUUAAUACCUAAUGGUAUAUAAGAGCGGCAUCGUUUUUAUAUUAAAGCUACGGUGGUGAAAGAUGAGUAUGCGUUCUAUUAGCUAGUUGGAGAGGUAACGGCUCCCCAAGGCGACGAUAGGUAGGGGUCCUGAGAGGGAGAUCCCCCACACUGGUACUGAGACAGGGACCAG